GUGCUUGCUUUGGCAGCACAUAUACUAAAAUUGGAAAGAUACAGAGAAGAUUAGCAUGGCUCCUGUGCAAGGAUGACAUGCAAAUUCAUGAAGUGUUCCAUAUUUUU
ensembl:snRNA U6 U6 spliceosomal RNA